rnacentral:misc_RNA from 1 species
AAGUGCUGAGUGGGGCCCAAAAAAGAGAAGUGUCCUGAUGCAAGUUCAUUGGCUGAGAAUUAUGUUAGAUGAAGGUCAUACCCUUGGUUCAAGUUUAACUUUGACCAACAAACUGCAAAUGGCUGUUUCUUUGCGUGCUACCAAUCGCUGGUUAUUAACUGGAACACCAACUCCAAACACCCCCAGUAGCCAGCUUUCUCAUCUGCAACCCUUGCUUAAGUUUCUCCAUGAUGAAACUUAUGGACAGAAUCAGAAAGCCUGGGAAGCUGGUAUUCUCAAGCCAUUCGAAGCAGAGAUGGAAGAGGGUCGGUCACGUUUGCUACAGUUACUUCACAGGUGCAUGAUCAGUGCCAGGAAAAAAGAUUUGCAGAAUAUUCCUCCUUGCAUCAAGAAAGUAACACUCUUAAAUUUUACUGAAGAACAUGCAAGAACUUAUAAUGAAUUGGUAGAAACCGUGCGGAGAAACAUACUAAUGGCAGACUGGAAUGAUCCUUCUCAUGUU